UUCUCUAAUGAUAGACACAACAAGAAACCCUCAAUUCUUUCAUUUGCUUUUAGGAUUUUAUGCUCUCGACACUUUUAAGGACUAAUCUUUAAUUCUCUUCAUCACCUCAACGGGCUCUUUCAAUUUCGGGAAAAAAUAUACAUAUAGAGUGAGAAUUUCACACAUACCUAUCGUUUCCUUGAAGUUGAUUUACAAGGCAUGUAUCGAGUUUUUACAACCAGUAUGAAUGGCUCAUUUACUUUUUAUUAUUUUGAGCUAUUGGGAAGUUAUUUUUACGCAAAUAAUUAUAGAAAAAAAAUCUAUCUGAUAAUCCUUUGUAACUUUCACCUAUUAUUUUUCAAGUGCUAACAAUUCUUUUAAAAUUAAAUAGACUGUAGAAAAGCAGUGCAAUAUGUCUUCUUAUUAGUGAUGCACACCUUUAAAGAAAAUAAUACUUCUUAUUUCCUUUUUAAUAUUUGUGUCUGUAUACCAUUUAGAACUAUAUCGUGUAUCGCUAUUAUGAGACAAAUAGUCUUGUGACUAUUAAUGAUUCUCCAUGUAAUUGAGGUUAGUUAUUGUAACUACUAAGAGUUGGCUUUGUUUGUUGUUAAAAUAUUUUUGGGUAGUUUAGAAGACAGCAUUUGUGAAAAGGCUCAAGUGAAGCAAUGUCUUAUUGUCGAGUCACUCAGAAGAAGCUUACCGGAUUAUUGCGCUUCAAAUACUUUAUGAAGUCAAGGCAGUAAACCAUCUUGAUAUGUUCCUUUAUUUCAUGUUCUUUUGGUUCAUAUCUCUCAGCUUUAGUUGAAUUCUAGAACGUUGUCAAAACUGUUGAAACUACCAACAUUGAUUCAUUUAAGUUUGGUCCCUAAUUUGUCAUUUUGGUCUGAUAUUCAUGUCUCAGCACAUGUUGCUUUGUACUGAGAUAUUUUUCAGGAUCACAAGCAUCAAACCUUAAGGUACUGAUAGAUUCUACACCUCAAGGGAGAUAAAUAUUUUUGGUUAA